rnacentral:rRNA from 1 species
CCUACGGGUGGCAGCAGUGAGGAAUAUUGGUCAAUGGACGAGAGUCUGAACCAGCCAAGUAGCGUGAAGGAUGACUGCCCUAUGGGUUGUAAACUUCUUUUAUAUGGGAAUAAAUUGUUCCACGGGUGGGAUUUUGUAUGUACCAUAUGAAUAAGGAUCGGCUAACUCCGUGCCAGCAGCCGCGGUAAUACGGAGGAUCCGAGCGUUAUACGGAUUUAUUGGGUUUAAAGGGAGCGUAGGUGGGUUGGUAAGUCAGUUGGGAAAGUUUGCGGCUCAACCGUAAAAUUGCAGUUGAAACUGGCAGUCUAGAGUACAGUAGAGGUGGGCGGAAUUCGAGGUGUAGCGGUGAAAUGCUUAGAUAUCACGAAGAACUCCGAUUGCGAAGGCAGUUCACUGGACUGAAACUGACGCUGAGGCUCGAAAGUGUGGGUAUCAAACAGGAUUAGAUACCCGAGUAGUC